GACCCCUAUAAAAACGGCGACCGAUCAUCCGAUCGUCCUCUUGGUUUCUACCACCAGAUUCGUCAUCUUGUUCCGGUACAGUCUCGCGAAUCAGUUAUUCCGUUAAAUCCUCUCACCAAUCUACGCUGCAAGUCAUCAUAUCCAGAGUAUUCUCAAGAGGUACCGUUCCGACGUCACAU